UACGGGGGGGGCAAGCGUUGUUCGGAAUUACUGGGCGUAAAGGGUGCGUAGGCGGCGCGGUAAGUCGGGUGUGAAAUCUUGGAGCUUAACUCCGAAACUGCAUUCGAUACUGCCGUGCUUGAGGACUGGAGAGGAGACUGGAAUUUACGGUGUAGCGGUGAAAUGCGUAGAUAUCGUAAGGAACACCAGCGGCGAAGGCGGCGACCUGGUUCUCAACUGACACUGAGGCGCGAAGGCGUGGGGAGCAAACAGG
rnacentral:rRNA from 1 species